AAAGUGACGCACAAAAGGAAAGACAGAAAGAACUGAACAGAACAUGCUGAGCGAUAAGCGAACAAGCAGGCGUGUGAUGGAGAGGGACACACACUGCGCCUCCCUCUCUCGAAUAAGCAUAAAACGAAAACGACACACACACACACACACACAACAGUGUCAAUGUUUGGGCAACUGGUCAAAGGAGUGGCACCAACUGCGGCGGUGACGUCGCUCCCAGCCACAGCCCGACUUGGCAGCACCCUCUCUCUUUAUCACCAUCUCGCUCUAUGCUUGUCCGCAGCCACUUUUGGGUU
rnacentral:lncRNA from 1 species